CUUAUCCCUUUGUGGCAGGACAGAGUUGCCUCCCUCAGUAGGGAGAAGCUGCAGAGACAGUGAAGUGCAGUCAUGGGAGAGCUUGUUGUAACUCCUUCUGGUCUCCGGAUUUUGAGACAUUUCACUUGGAUUUUGUUUGGUAUUCUCCAAGCUUGAUAACGUUGGCUCUGUUUUGGUGUUGCCUGUCUCCGAGUGCUGCUGCUGAGCUCAGGGAGGAUGAUUUCUCUGGCCCCUUGGAGUAAAUUGAGAGGAGGCCUCUUUCUGCCAUUUUCUUCGGAAGAUGCAUCAAUCCACACUGCCCUUAAUCCUUUCUUUCUAUAGGUUAUGAUAUUUAAAAUCUUCAGUUCGAGUAUUUGCAUAAACAAUCGUCAAGGAUGUAGAGGAGGUACUGCUUUGAAAGGGGGGUGGCUAAUUGGUCUGACUCCUGCAAAGGCUUCUGAGGCAGGCAGGAAGAAAUCCUACUGCAGCGUGUUAUGAUAGAGCACAGAGCAUUUACAAGCUGGUCUCUGCAUCUUCAGGGCUUAGGCCCCAGCACAGCACCAUUGCUUUAAGUUCUGCUGCAGCUGGAGGCCGGAGCUGAUUUAUCUGCACGCCAAGCACUCAGCACCUCUUGCUUGCUGUUUCCAGCUCCUUGCGGAGAUGGAUGGUGAAAAGGAGGAAGCAAAGAAGGUGCUGGGAGGUGUGCUGGGGAGCUGGGCAGAGGUCCUGCUGGCCUCGCUUGGCAUCUGGGAACUGACUGCUGAAACUUACACCUAAGCAUUGAUGUCAUAUUCGUUCUGAACUGUGCUGGAACUUUAUUCUGGUGUCAUCGCUUUGUGAGGUGAUGACACCAGAUUG
rnacentral:lncRNA from 1 species